rnacentral:ncRNA from 1 species
UUCUUCGGGGCGGGGUGUGAUUCCCCACCGGCGGUGACAGUCCGCGACCCAUGACCACAUGGCUGAACCGGUGUAAUUCCGGUACCGACAGUAUAGUCUGGAUGAGAGAAGAA